AAUCACAGUCAUAUCACCCUGCAGCCCAAGACCGGUUACUCACUGAAUUCUAAGCAGGACUGAGUCUGGUCAGUACCUGGAUAGGAGACCACAUGGGAAAAACUAGGUUGCUGUUGGAA
rnacentral:rRNA from 1 species